UACAGAGGAGCCAAGCGUUGUCCGGACUGACUGGGCGUAAAGCGCACGCAGGCGGCGCUGCGCGUGGGGUGUGAAAGCUCUUGGCUUAACUGAGAGAGGCCAUCCCAUACGGCAGUGCUCGAGCGGUGCAGAGGUCCGCGGAAUUGCCGGUGUAGUGGUGAAAUGCGUAGAGAUGGGGGAGAACACUCGUGGCGAAGGCGGCCAGCUAGACCAGUUCUGACACUGAGGCGCGACAGCGUGGGGAGCAAACAGG
rnacentral:rRNA from 1 species